GGAGUUUUAUCUUGAACUUGCCAGCUCCACAACAGUGAGCAACAAAUUACUAUUAUUUUUUUCUUUCCAGAAUAAAUGAAUUAUGAUACUACCAGGGUCAAAGUGAAUUUGACUUUCAAUUUUAUAUAAUCCACCAAUGACAAUUCUCUUUUUAAACUCUUGGCAGCUCUUUGGGGGAUGGAAGAAGACCAUGAAGCUCUAAGUGCUUCAGAGGAAUGGGGUUGCCAAAACAGAUGUGAGAGGCCCCGAGAGGAGGCUGGGCCACUGCUGAAGGCUGGAGUGCAUGGCAUGAUCCCAGCUCACUGCAAUUUCUCCCUCCUGGGUUCAAGCAAUUCUCAUGCUUCAGCCUCCCAAUAAGCCGGAAUUACAGAAAUUUGGAAAUGGAGUUUACGUAAGCAUUACCUUUCUACUCUUCCUAACUUCUAGGGCCACUACAUGGCAUUUUUUUUUUUUAAUAAAAAGGAAAGAAAAGUCUAAGUAUUUAUUUUGAGCAAAUAUUCUGUUAGCCAUGGGAAAAUGAAAGGUUAUAAAACACUUGUCUUCAAAGAGUUUAUAGUGCAGUUGUAUAGGAAGGCACACCUUCAAAGAAAAUGUCAAUACAACUGGAAGAUGGGCUCUAAGGACCCAGCCUCUCUAAUGGAGGAGGUAACAUUGCCCAAAGAAUCUCUUUCUAGAGAGGACUAAAGCUUCCUCUCUUCGGUUAUAAGAACAUGGCGGGUGCCAAGUGUUCAUCCUGGAGGAUCACCAGAAAAUGAUGGGCCGGUGAAUCUGGAGAAGUACAAAACUGGGUCAGAUAUAGUCAGUUCCUGAGAGAAUCAUGGUACCAUUCACCAAGAUAAGAAAAUCCCAAGGAAAGUGGACAUUAUUUUUCUGAAAAGGAAAAUAAAUGAUUUUUUCUGGACAUGAUUGACUGUGAUCCUGUGGUGAUAUCCUGCAUCAGGUAUCAAAGAAUCAUAAAUCAAUGAACAAUUAAUUUUUGAAGGGAUUUUAGAGGCAAUUAUUGUGUUAAAAUUUUUUUCAUUUUAGACAUAGUGGAAGAUAAAUUUCCAAGAGAUUUAAUAAUUUUGCAAAUGCCACCAAACAAGUUGGUUAUAGAAGUGAGACUAAAAGAUAAAUUCUUUCCUUUUAUGCUACCAGUGUGGGGAAAAGAAAGAGAGAUCAGAUUGUUACUGUGUCUGUGUAGAAAGAAGUAGACAUAAGAGACUCCAUUUUGUUCUGUACUAAGAAAAAUUCUUCUGCCUUGAGAUGCUGUUAAUCUGUAACCCUACCCCCAACCCUGUGCUCCCUGAGACAUAUGCUGUGUCAAUUUAAGGUUAAAUGGAUUAAGGCUGUGCAGGAUGUUCUUUGUUAAACAAUUGCUUGAAGGCAGCAUGCUUGUUAAGAGUCAUCACCACUCCCUAAUCUCAAGUACCCACAGACACAACACACUGAGGAAGGCCGCAGGGACCUCUGCUUAGGAAAGCCAGGUAUUGUCCAAGGUUUCUCCCCAUGUGAUAGUCUGAAAUAUGGCCUCGUGGAAAGGGAAAGACCUGACCGUCCCCCAGCCGGACACCCGUAAAGGGCCUGUGUUUAGGAGGAUUAGUAAAAGAGAAAGGAAUGCCUCUUUGCAGUUGAGAUAAGAGGAAGGCUUCUGUCUCCUACUCAUCCCUGGGCAAUGGAAUGUCUCGGUGUAAAGCCCGAUUGUAUAUUCCAUCUACUGAGACAGGGGAAAACCGCCUUAGGGCUGGAGGUGAGACAUGCUGGCAGCAAUACUGUUCUUUAAGGCAUUGAGAUGUUUAUGUAUAUGCACAUCAAAAGCACAGCACUUUUUUCUUUACCUUGUUUAUGAUGCAGAGACAUUUGUUCACGUGUUUACCUGCUGAUCUUCUCUCCGCUAUUAUCCUAUUGUCCUGCCACAUCCCCCUCUCCGGGAAAUGCCCGAUAAUGAUCAAUAAAUACUAAGGGAACUCAGAGGCCGGUGUUGGCGAGGGUCUUCUGUAUGCUGAGCGCUGGUCCCCUGGGCCCAUUUUUCGUUCUCUAUACUUUGUCUCUGUGUCUUUCUUUUCCAAGUCUCUCGUUCCACCUGAUGAGAAACGCCCAGAGGUGUGGAGCGGCAAC